UGUCCCUUGAGCACAAUGGACAGUGCGUUGGACUUCUAAUCCAAGGGUCGUGGGUUCGAAACCCCCCUGGAUAG